GAACCUGUGAGACAAAACUCAGGACGAAGCUAAACCCAUUAACUUUAAAUAUCGACAGGGAAAAUAAAGCCCUCUGAUUGGCUGAAAAUAGGUGGUGUUCAUCGUUACGGUAAAAGAGGAAGUACAUGUUUACCUGCAAGAUAGAAAGUAAACAGACUAGUUAAAUGAACCAUUUGCUUUAUUUUAACAUUUCAAACAAUUGUUAAGGUGGCGCAAUAGUCCAACUUUUUGGUUUGAUUUACUGGUAAAUGGGGUGGAUGAAGUGCCAGAACAUCCUGCUCAAGUAGAAAUCUUUAUUUAACCAAGAUGAGCUCCUGACAUUCAAAUCUCCUUUCAUGAAAGUCUUGGUGAAAAUGACGAGUACAAUUAUGUUAUACAAAAAUGUAUCAUGCUCGCCAUAUUCAGUUCAAAAUGGAUGUUACCUAAAACCUCCAAGUCAGCGAUGCUCUGAGUGAUAAAAAUACUCAUAUGCAAACAUUGAUGUAAUGUCCUUUUGGGUCCAUGAAAGCAUAACUGCAACUAUUUUGCCUUUUCAGUAGUUUAGUUGAAAGCAAUAGAUUAGAGGAAUUUGAAUGUACAACUAAGUCAAUGCAACGAUAGUUCUUAUUCACCCUUAAUGGGACAUUUUGUUGUGUCUUUGACUUAGAACUGUUGAAAAUGUCAUUCUUCCCUCGUUCUUAGGUUUCAAGUGGUGGUAGUUCAGUUUCUGUUAUUUUCAUGUCCAUUUUUGUUUCUAUGAAAAGUCUUAUUGUCCUUGUGUCUGUAUGUGCAGUUAAACAGUGAAAUUGUAAACACGUUUCAGCCAAAUUUGUUUUCAUUUAUUGUGCCAUGAAGAUAAGUCAAGUAUGAUUCACUGUAUAACUGUAAUUAUCAGCAAGGAUUUGUUGUCGCUGUCUUGUUUCAGCACCAUGUUUGUUUUCUCCUUGUCUUCACCAGCCAGGAGUGCCUCCCUCCCCUGCCGGGCUGACAACCUCAGAUGCAUGCGAGGAGCCCACCUUCUGUCUGCGGCUGGACCACUUGGCUCCUUCACAAAGGCUUCUGGAAUAACAGAGCCGACCAGAGGAAAUGACAGCCUGAUCACAAGAGGUUUCCCCUCACUCCCCCUUACUUAGCUGCCUACUGGGGUGUAGAAGGGUGUUGCUGUGUGUGUGAAUGGGAUACUGGCUUUCACCUCUGAAAACUCAAGACCUAAUUUUGAUGCAAUUGAGGUAAUUACUGUGAUAAUUAAGAAGCAAGUUCAGAGGUUAUCAGUGCUCUCUGAGAUGUCACUGGAGUUGUAGCUCAUACAAGCUACUCAGGCGGUCAGGUGACUAUUUUAAAGUUCAGGGGACUUUUAAUCAGCAGAUCAAUAAAAUUUUGAGAGUCAUAAUGACAGAUUUGUGAGAGGAGAUUACUUCAUAAAUGUGCUCCAACUGGAGAAUGUCAAAGGAAUAAAUUUUUUCUUCCCCAGAGCAAUAGAAGCUUUGAAAAUGCUUUGAAAAUUCUUUGAUCUCAUUGUCACAUGUGUUUGGUUUGUAAUACACCAGAUAAUGGGAUGGCUGUCUUUAAAGAUAAGUGGUGUGAUGCAGACUCAUGCUGUAUCUUAUCAAUAAAUGCUUCAGCAAUCAAACAGGACACCACCAAGAACCUGUUGCCACUCUGUCUUGUGGGUCUGUCCUUCCUCUGUCCCUCACAUUGCCUCAGCCCACCAGUAUUUGUAUAGAAUACAGAUAGAGUACUGCCUUCUUCCUGUAUGUAUAUCCCACUCCUGAAUGAGCACUUCCUCCACAGAGCAAAGUAGUGCGGGAGCUGCCUGCAUGCCUUUGUGUCUCGGGGACUAGCACGUAGCAGUAGGUGUAGGCUGGCUGAGGCAUUGUCAUUCUCUGGAUGUCAUGCGCAAGUCAACCCUUGAUCUCCCACUUUGAAGUGCAUUGCUGGAGGACCUGAGAGAGAACAGUCUGUGUAUCCAGCGUGGGCUCACAGCAGUCAACAGAGGGCGCCCGAUACCAGAGAGCACGCACCGAGGCCAGAAGUCGCUGUCAUCCUCACAGACUGGUGCCAGGCUCACAGACUGCUGCAAUAAAAUUCUCACCUCAUUAUCUGAGACAGUCACAUCACAGGCUUGUGU